UCUCUGGUGGUUUCAGUAAAUGACCAUUAGCCUCUUUUCCAACUUUACCAGGAAUUUUAACUUUACCUGGCAUUUUGAAAAACCUCGACAUGUUUCCACUGAAAUUACCUGGUAAAAAACUUCACUCUGACCCCACACUUUCCCUGAAAAAUUUCCCAGUAGGGGGGAAUGUUUCAGAUUCCCCAGAAUUCUUGGAGGUGGGGCUGUGUGCUGAACAAAGCUGAUUGGUGGAACACACUUGCAGUGUUCCACACUUACAUUCACCCCUAAUGUUUAAGCCAGCAGUGUCGACAAAUGUGUU